rnacentral:rRNA from 1 species
GACGAACGCUGGCGGCGUGCCUAAUACAUGCAAGUCGAGCGGAUGACAGAGGAGCUUGCUCCUCUCGAUUCAGCGGCGGACGGGUGAGUAACACGUGGGCAACCUGCCCUGUAGAUUGGGAUAACUCCGGGAAACCAGGGCUAAUACCGAAUAAUCCUUCGGACCUCAUGGUCCGAUGUUGAAAGACGGCAUCUCGCUGUCACUACAGGAUGGGCCCGCGGCGCAUUAGCUAGUUGGUGAGGUAACGGCUCACCAAGGCCACGAUGCGUAGCCGACCUGAGAGGGUGAUCGGCCACACUGGGACUGAGACACGGCCCAG